rnacentral:rRNA from 1 species
AGCGAGCAUAUAAGCGGAAGUUUUCGGAUAGAAGCGUGUAUGACUGAGCGGCGGACGGGUGAGUAACGCGUGGGUAACCUGCCUCAUACAGGGGGAUAACAGUUAGAAAUGACUGCUAAUACCGCAUAAGCGCACAGGACCGCAUGGUCAAGUGUGAAAAACUCCGGUGGUAUGAGAUGGACCCGCGUCUGAUUAGCUGGUUGGUGAGGUAACGGCCCACCAAGGCGACGAUCAGUAGCCGACCUGAGAGGGUGGCCGGCCACAUUGGGACUGAGACACGGCCCAAACUCCUACGAGAGGCAGCAGUGGGGAAUAUUGCACAAUGGGGGAAACCCUGAUGCAGCAACGCCGCGUGAGUGAAGAAGUAUUUCGGUAUGUAAAGCUCUAUCAGCAGGGAAGAAGAAAGACGGUACCUGACUAAGAAGCCCCGGCUAACUACGUGCCAGCAGCCGCGGUAAUACGUAGGGGGCAAGCGUUAUCCGGAUUUACUGGGUGUAAAGGGAGCGUAGACGGCAUAGCAAGUCUGAAGUGAAAGCCCGUGGCUCAACCGCGGAACUGCUUUGGAAACUGUUAAGCUGGAGUACUGGAGAGGCAAGCGGAAUUCCUAGUGUAGCGGUGAAAUGCGUAGAUAUUAGGAGGAACACCAGUGGCGAAGGCGGCUUGCUGGACAGAGACUGACGUUGAGGCUCGAAAGCGUGGGGAGCAAACAGGAUUAGAUACCCUGGUAGUCCACGCGGUAAACGAUGAAUGCUAGGUGUUGGC